rnacentral:lncRNA from 1 species
GCACGUAGGCCCCAUCAAAAUAGUUCAUAAUCCAUAACAUAAUAAAAAUAACAUAUUAUCCACGUAAGAGAAUGAAGCAUGCAUAAUUCAUAAAGCCCCAUCCCGUUACGUAUCAGAGCGACCUAGAAGACACAGUGAAGGCAAGGCCACUCACGACGGAAACAGCACACUAAGCUCGGUCACCUGCACGUUACCCACGGUCGAGGUAACAUUCAAACAGAAGGGGUGAGAUUUCAUAACAGAUUAACAUUAAACAAUGCAAUUAAGAAUCAUAAGUUAACAACAUG